AGAGUUUGAUUAUGGCUCAGGAUGAACGCUGGCGGCGUGCUUAACACAUGCAAGUCGAACGGGAAACCUAUUAUUGAAACUUCGGUUGAUUUAAUUUGUUUCUAGUGGCGGACGGGUGAGUAACGCGUGGGUAACCUGCCCUAUACAGGGGGAUAACAACCAGAAAUGGUUGCUAAUACCGCAUAAGCGCACGGGACCGCAUGGUCCAGUGUGAAAAACUCCGGUGGUAUAGGAUGGACCCGCGUUGGAUUAGCUAGUUGGUGGGGUAACGGCCCACCAAGGCGACGAUCCAUAGCCGGCCUGAGAGGGUGAACGGCCACAUUGGGACUGAGACACGGCCCAG
rnacentral:rRNA from 1 species